CGGGCGCUGCUUGGUGCGAUCGGUAGCAUUUUUCCCCGGGGCCAAUGUCUUCACUCUAGGGGGCUGUCUCUGUCGAGAUCGUGGUCUCGAUACAUGGUCCCCACCUGCAAACGCAGGCCACGGAGGGACUUCAUACGCCGGACGGCCGUGGCGGCUCCGCU
rnacentral:other from 1 species